UCCAGAGGUCUCAAGCGUUGUUCGGAUUCAUUGGGCGUAAAGGGUGCGUAGGCGGCGCGGUAAGUCGGGUGUGAAAUUUCGAGGCUUAACUUCGAAACUGCAUUCGAUACUGCCGUGCUUGAGGACUGGAGAGGAGACUGGAAUUUACGGUGUAGCGGUGAAAUGCGUAGAUAUCAGGAAGAACACCAACGGCGAAGGCAGCUCGCUGGGACGGUACUGACGCUGAGACGCGAAAGCGUGGGGAGCGAACAGG
rnacentral:rRNA from 1 species